AUGAUUGCAAUGAUAAAGAAGUAGUAGGUAGUGAAAGUCUUACAGAGAGGAAAUGUUGAUGAGAAAUUUCUAGAUGGAAGCAACUGAACCAAUCUUUUAGCUUAGAGGGGUAGCAACCUCUACGGAUGGAGCCGUUAUACUCCAGCAAGAGAAUCACAUGUUUUGUGAUUAACUAGAGUGGUACCGCGGAAACUAUGCCUUUCGUCUCUAUU
rnacentral:ncRNA from 1 species